ACGGAGAGUUUGAUCCUGGCUCAGGACGAACGCUGGCGGCGUGCUUAACACAUGCAAGUCGAACGGUAAGGCCCCUUCGGGGGUACACGAGUGGCGAACGGGUGAGUAACACGUGAGCAACCUGCCCUUGACUUCGGAAUACCAGCUGGAAACAGCUGCUAAUACCGGAUAUGACACUUGCCCUCCUGGGUGGGUGUGGAAAGCUCCGGCGGUCAGGGAUGGGCUCGCGGCCUAUCAGCUUGUUGGUGAGGUAAUGGCUCACCAAGGCUUCGACGGGUAGCCGGCCUGAGAGGGCGACCGGCCACACUGGGACUGAGAUACGGCCCAGACUCCUACGGGAGGCAGCAGUGGGGAAUAUUGCACAAUGGGCGGAAGCCUGAUGCAGCAACGCCGCGUGCGGGAUGACGGCCUUCGGGUUGUAAACCGCUUUCAGUAGGGACGAAGCUAACGUGACGGUACCUACAGAAGAAGGACCGGCUAACUACGUGCCAGCAGCCGCGGUGAUACGUAGGGUGCGAGCGUUGUCCGGAUUUAUUGGGCGUAAAGGGCUCGUAGGUGGUUGAUCGCGUCGGAAGUGUAAUCUUGGGGCUUAACCCUGAGCGUGCUUUCGAUACGGGUUGACUUGAGGAAGGUAGGGGAGAAUGGAAUUCCUGGUGGAGCGGUGGAAUGCGCAGAUAUCAGGAGGAACACCGAUGGCGAAGGCAGGUCUCUGGGCUGUUACUGACGCUGAGGAGCGAAAGCAUGGGGAGCGAACAGGAUUAGAUACCCUGGUAGUCCACGCCGUAAACGUUGGGCGCUAGAUGUAGGGACCUUUCCACGGUUUCUGUGUCGUAGCUAACGCAUUAAGCGCCCCGCCUGGGGAGUACGGCCGC
rnacentral:rRNA from 1 species